rnacentral:rRNA from 1 species
AUGGAAGCCACACUGCAAAGUGUACAGGCCAUCAGUGAAAUUUUACAAGUCUAUGAGGAAAGCUCGGGUCAGGUCAUCAAUAGAGAAAAGUCCUCUGUGAUGUUCAGUAGCAAUGCAAAGCAAAGCGCCAAAAACCUGUUAUUACAGGAAUUGCAACUUGGUGCUGAAUCAAUGAGAGGAAAAUAUUUGGGGCUGCCAACAUACAUUGGGAAGUCGGUCAAGAGAUGCUUUGCAUACAUAAAGGACGGUAUAAUGAGCAGACUUCACGGAGGGAUGGAGAGAUGCUUGUCCAUGGCAGGGAAGGAGGUGUAUGUCAAAGCAGUCGCACAGGCUAUACCGACGUAUGCUAUGGGCUGUUUCGAUCUCACUAGAUCCCUGUGUGAUGAGAUAAGCCAAUUCAUAUGCCGAUACUGGUGGAACCAACAGGCAGAGGAGAGGAAAAUGCAUUGGGUAGGAUGGGAAAAAUGA